rnacentral:rRNA from 1 species
GAUGAACGCUGGCGGCGUGCCUAAUACAUGCAAGUCGAGCGAACAGACGAGGAGCUUGCUCCUCUGACGUUAGCGGCGGACGGGUGAGUAACACGUGGAUAACCUACCUAUAAGACUGGGAUAACUUCGGGAAACCGGUGCUAAUACCGGAUAAUAUAUUGAACCGCAUGGUUCAAUAGUGAAAUACGGUUUUGCUGUCACUUAUAGAUGGAUCCGCGCCGCUUUGGCUAGUUGGUAAGGUAACGGCUUACCAAGGCAACGAUGCGUAGCCGACCUGAGAGGGUGGUAGGCCACACGGGAAGGGAGACACGGUCCAGACUCCUACGGGAGGCAGCAGUAGGGAAUCUUCCGCAAAGGGCGAAAGCUUGACGGAGCAAGGCCGCGUGAGUGAUGAAGGUCUUCGGAUCGGAAAACUGUGUUAUGAGGGAAGAACAAAUGUGUAAGUAACUAUGCACGUAUUGACGGUACCUAAUCAGAAAGCCACGGCUAACUACGUG